rnacentral:lncRNA from 1 species
CACACCAAAUAUUCUUCAGCUAUUUGUAGAUCAAGGGAAGAGUUACUUACACACUUUCGAUAUGAAUAAAAAAAAUCUUUUCAUUUAUUGAACCUUUCUCAACAGUGAAUUUAAUGAAAUUUUAAACUCCUUCAAAAUAAUCUUCACCGAACCUUGGCUUGUUUAUCUAACUUUUGUCUAUUGUAUGAGAAUAAUAAUUUAAUAAUAAUUUAUUUAAAAAAUUAUACAAGUAGCAUAUCAGUUG